AAAACUUCCUUUGCUACACACUUGUUUCUCAAACCCUAAAAUCACAUCUUUCUUCCUCCUCUCUCACUACAGCAAUGAAGAAUUGAAAAGUUGAGAAGCUUCUUGAUUGAUUGGGUAAUGAUUAAAGAGUGAAGUGAAGUCGGAUUCAUUGUUGAUUUGUUCUUUCGGUGUGGUGCAGCAAGCAAAAGCAAAAUUAGGACAAUAUUGCAACAGAUUCAAGUGCACACCAUGAUGAAGAUGGUACUGAUGAAGAUGGUGAUGAAGAUGUUGCUGAUGAAUAUGAUGCAAACUCUAAUGAGGACUUUUAUUAGAUAUAUUGUUAGCUUCCUUGCUUAAGAAUGAUUAUAUUAUAAAGACCAAAUAUUGAAUAUUUAUCUUUAUCUGACCAUGUAUGAAUGAUUAACUAUGUUUCAUC